ensembl:lncRNA
CAAGCGCUCAAUAGCCACACGGGGCUAGUGGCUGCCUUAUUGGACGUCGCAGAUGUGGACAUUUUUGUCAUCGCAGAAAGUUCUAUUGGACAGCAUUGGUCUACAGGACUAGGAGAGAUAUUUUUUAAUACAUGACCAUUGCUCAAGAGAUGAAAAAGGAUGAAAGUUUAUCAGGUAGUCUCAUUUCAUGCUAAUGAGGAUCCCGGGAGUGUCAGAAAAACAGCUCAGCCAGAUUAAUUUUUCGAGACCCCACGCAACGAGAGACCCAUUGUCAUCCAAGACUCAGUUCUCAAAGCUCUGAGUAUUCAGAUCGAAAAUAAGCUGCGUUUCAGGGGCUCCGCAAACCCUUGCUAUAUCAAGUCAAGGGUAUUAAAGGCAGCAUGUGUUACUGUCAUCAAAACUCACACCAGGAGGUAAGAACCCGCUGGCAGUUUGAUACUUAAACAGCGUGGAACAGGUGAACGCGCCCCUUCUGCUCCCCAGGGAGAACCCGGACCUGUGCUGUCCUUUGGCGCCCCCAAACGGGCGCUUAGGGUUUGUCACCGACAGGAAGUUAAAACCACAAUAUUUACAAUUUAGGAUGAACUGAAGACUUCCUGUCUUGGUUUCUCUUCAUUCGCCUUCUCUUUUUUGGUGAAAGUUGUAAGAGUCACGGUUCAGAGAACCAGGAGCAUCAGAGCAAGGUUUCACAAUGAUGAGUCCACUGUUGUUCUGGAGGAUUAGGCCCCAAAGACACUACAACUAACUUUUAAGUUUUUCAAUAAUUUUCAUAACAUUUUAAAGCAUGCAAAACGUAUAGAUAACGAUACCACAGACCUUCAUGUUUUUAUGACUCAGCUGAACACCUAAAAUAUUACUGAUAUAUUUGAAGCCCUGAUCCUAUUUCCUUUUCUUCUUGGAGGUAAAAAUGAAAUUCAGGAUAGCAUUUUGCAGCCCUACGUGUGUAUUUAUUUAUUUUCAUUUUUUACUGCUGAAAACUUCCCUGAACAACUAUGCUUAUUUUAUUUAUCUAGUCUCAUAAUAAGUGAUGAUAAUUAGAUAGUUCAUCUUUUUCUUGUUAACAUGUUUGAAUUACUUUUAUAUUCUGAACACUAGUGCUUUCUUUGGUUGCAUGAUUCAUAAAAUACUUUCAGUCUGUGGCUUAUUUUUUCUUUUUGUUUGUGGUGCCUUUUCGAAUACAAGAUUUUUGCAUUUCAAAGCCAAAGGUGUCCAUCCUGUCUUUUAUGGUUCAUGUAUUUUGAAUCCUAUGAAAUCCUUUUAUAUGCCAAGGUCAUAAGAUAGUCUUCUAUAUUCUUUAAAGAAUUUUAAAGAUUUUCUUUUUACAUUUGGAUGCUUAAUUCCUCUUGGUUUUAUUUAGGUAUUUGGUACAGAAUGGAUGUCUCUUUGUCCACAUGAAUGAGUUUCUUUCUGGCAGGGUGCUCAUAGGAAUAACCUUGGGAGCUUUUAAAAAAAUCUGUUUCUGGGCCUCGUCCUAGAAUUGAUGAAAUCCUAAUCUUUGAGGGUGGAGCUGAGACAUCAAGAUUAAAGAAAAAAACCUUCCUCCAGGUGGCUCUAACAGGCAACCAGGGUUAAGAACCUCUGUUCUAAGGUCAGACCCAAGAGUAGAACUCCUGGGGGGUGUAUGACUUCCUUGGCUGUACUGGGCUUUGCCAGUGCUCUGUAAAGGGGUUAUAACUAUUCAUGGUCCUUCCAGCAAGAGAGUUCCAGUUGCUGCACGUCUUUGAAAACACGUGGGCAUUAUUAUCCCAAUUAAGUGAUAAGGAAAUAGGUGCUCAGAGAGUUGUGAUUAGGGGACUUACCUAAAAAUCACACAGUAGAGUGCAACUGUGUCCUCCACUGUCCUCCCUUCUCCAUUUGCACAUGUUACUCCUGUCAAAUGUGCUUCACUCGCUGGCAUCACUGGCAAGGACACUGGCGUUUGUUUUGGUUCUUU